GGGACUCUAAGGAGACUGCUGGUGAAGAACCGGAGGAAGGCGGGGACGACGUCAAGUCAUCAUGGCCUUUAUGGGUAGGGCUACACACGUGCUACAAUGGGGCGUACAGAGGGAAGCCAACUCGCGAGAGGGAGCCAAUCUCAGAAAGCGCCUCGUAGUCCGGAUCGGAGUCUGCAACUCGACUCCGUGAAGUCGGAAUCGCUAGUAAUCGCGAAUCAGAACGUCGCGGUGAAUACGUUCCCGGGCCUUG
rnacentral:rRNA from 1 species